AGGGUUGUUGGUUUCAAAUAUCUUUCAUUGUGCUUGGAGAAAGAGGAGAUAGCGACGGAGCGGAUUUCAAUUGCUUAUCUUGCUGAAGCUAGAUUCACAGGUCUUGGUCCAGGAAUAUUUUUCUCGAUUCAGAUUAUCAUGUACUAGGAUCAAAUGAGCGCAAAGUCAUAGGCUUUCUGUGAUCCGUGUAGUUUAUUUGAUGCAUUAUCAUAUGGGGCUGCUUUCCAUGGCAAUGGUUUUUAUCAGCAAAGCUGUGGACUACUCGCUUUCAAUGACACUUUUCAUUCUUGAGUUCAAGUGAUUGACUUGAAUGUACGUCAACAGAUCAAGCACUUGGUUCUGAACCUACAUUGCCUUACUUAAGUUUGGAUCAGCUCAAUGAAGAAAUAUAUUUGGUGGUGCUAAAUUUGCUUCUGCUGGCAUUGGAGUCCUCAUGACACCGGAGUUCAGCAUAAGCUUGAAGAAAAGUUCAUUGCAGAUGAGGCAUGCAUAACCAAUGCAGGAGAAAGGAGAGAUAUAAAUUAGAAAGUUAUGUAAAAGCCUUCUGCUCUAAAGCUUCAAACCUUAGCGGUUUUGGAAGACAUGCGGGUAAGUAGACUAUGAAUUACUUUUGUUUUGCAAGGUCAUCUUAUGUUGUCUAGAUAAUGUGAUCUCACAUUUGUACUGUAAUUUGCUUAAUUUGAGAAUGUUUUCCUAAGUGAUUGAUAUCAACUAGGUUGUGUACUAGACUAUUAUUUUGCUUUAAAAGUAUACAUUCAAUUUGAGCUUUCUGAUUUGGUAAGGAUGUUGUUUUGCCUUUGAUUUUGAGGUAGUAUGUUUGAGUGUUUUGACUUAUGAAUUUCUUGAACCUUGCAAGGUGUGGUCAGCAUUCUCCAUUGUGAUUUUGAAGAAAUGGAAAACGUACAGUUGGGUCCGGAGUUAGAUGAGUCUGGAAGCAUACUUCUGUAGGUAUCAGAGAAGGUUAAUCUUAAGUUGCCUUUGUAAGUCAGGUUAAUUAUAACAUGUUUCUUGUCGAUGUAGAUUGUUUUU